AAAGGAAUUGACGGGGACCCGCACAAGCGGUGGAGCAUGUGGAUUAAUUCGAUACUAACCGAAGAACCUUACCCAGAUUUGACAUCGAUUGCAACACUAAGAGAUUAGUGCCUCUCCCACAAGGAGACAUGAAGACACUUGUUGCAUGGCUGUCGUCAGCUCGUGCCGUGAGGUGUACGGUUAAGUCCGCCAACGAGCGCAACCCUCGUCCUAUGUUGCCAGCGAGUAAAGUCGGGAACUCAUAGGAGACCGCCGGUGUAAAUCGGAGGAAGGUGAGGAUGACGUCAAGUCAGCAUGGCAGUUACGUCUGGGGCUUCACACAUGCUACAAUGGGCGCAACAAAGGGCAGCAAAACCGCGAGGUGGAGCCAAUCCCAAAAAUACGCCCUCAGUUCAGAUUGCAGUCUGCAACUCGACUGCAUGAAGGCGGAAUCGCUAGUAAACGCAGGUCAGCUAUACUGCGUUGAAUACGUUCCCGGGUCUUGUACACACCGCCCGU
rnacentral:rRNA from 1 species